rnacentral:tRNA from 1 species
UAUAUUUUAGUAUAUAAUGUACGAAGGUUUUUGAUACUUUAGGGGUAGUUUAAUUCUAUAAAAUAUAA